GGUGGCUCAGUGGGAGAGUGUUUGCCUUGCAUGCAUGAGGCCCUGGGUUCAAUUCCUCAGCACCA
rnacentral:tRNA from 1 species